AACAGACAAGGAGGUCAGCCUGCAUGUGAUCAGGUCGGGGACGUGGGUCGCAUCAUGCAGCAUCCCUGUCUUGAUGGAACAGCUGAAUUCUUCUUGAAAGAAGAUACUCAGGUGGAAAUGACCAAGGUACAGGUAAAUGGCCGCCGUGAAGAGGAGCAGGAGGGAGUUCUUUAGGAGGUAGGCGGCCACUAGUGAAUGUGAGCGCUGCUUACAUGCCAGGUACCGCUCUAGCAAGGGAAAUUCAAAGUAUCGUUCUUUCCGGGCCCUGGGCAGGGGGAGAAAGGAGGCACAGUUAGGAAGAGCAGUUUAGGAUGUCACCCUGUGUGUCAUGUGGGAAAGUAACAUAUGAAUAUUCAACAGGGUGUUCUUGGUGCAUAUGGAAAUCUGCCAUCGCUUCACGUGAUUUUCCCUCCGAAACAGCUGUGCAAGGAUACCUUGACUCUCCUCGUAAUGAGUGCAGUCUGAUAAACUCGGAGAUGAUCAGUGAGUUGUGAAUGGUCACAGAAUACUUAGGCCAACAAGGCAGACUGAGGGUCUAAGCUGAAGGAGUCUUGUCUGUGUUACCUUUAGACAAUGUUAGCAUCCUGUGUGUGGCUACAGCUUUGUUGCUCCAACCUGUCUCCAGACACAUACACUAAUGUAUCUGAAGCAUCCAGGUGUCAAAUGAAUGAAUGACUAGAAAGAUAAAUGAUUUCAGGGAAAGAGGAGGCGGUGGAAUAGCAGCUUUCUGUCACCUGGUGUACGUUGAAUAUUCCCUUUCCCAAAUGCUUUGGGCCAGAAGUGUUUCAGAUUUUGAAGUUUUGUUUUUUGUUUUGGAUUUUGGCAUAUUUACAUAGAAUUCACCAAGGAUGCAAAAAAAUUUUGGAUUUUGGGUGAUUCAGUUAGGGACACUCAACCUAUAGUUAGAAUUUUGAAGGAACUAGGGAGAGAGGUCGUGCAUGCCUGUGAUCCCAGCACUCGUAAGGCUGAGGCAGGAGGAUUGCCAUGUGUUUGAGAUCAGCCUGAGUUACAUAGUUUAAGGCCAGCCUGCACUACAAAGUGCAGACCCUCUUUCAAGAUGCAAAAACAAAAACAAAUACAAAAAAUAGUUUGAAAAAUGUAGUUGGUGACUAUGUUGAGGCCUUGGGCAAAAAUUUGGGAGAAUUCAUAUGUUUUUGAUAGGCCUGGGGUGGGGGGUGCUCAAGGCUUCUGAGCAGGAGAAUAGGGUACACAGGUGGUACUUUAGAGAGAUAAAUCCUUUUGUGGCUCAGUGUGAUUAUAUGUAAACUACAGGUAGAGCCCUUUCCCUUUUAGAGGAACUACAGAAAAUUCACGACGUUACAUGCAAACACUUUAGGAUGAGCAAGGAUGAUCUAAAGAUUGCUCUGCAUGGACACCAUCUCAAUGCUCAAACAAACGCCUUAGAAAAGGUGGAGAAGCAGCUCACUUGUCCAGCUCAUCCCAGAAGACAUGGGGGUCGGAGCUCUUCUGCCGGAUCUUCAGCAUGUGCUGCACCAGGCGGAUGGAGCGAUUGUAGGAUUUGUCCAGCUCGCUGAUGAUGAACAGCAGGUCCGAGCUGAGGGCCGGCACGGCCGCACACUGCCACAGCAGCACUGGCAGGGCUUGCUUGAACUGCCAGUGACGGAGACUUCCUGGGCUUUCUCCAUUAACUCCCUGGUUUUAUUGGAAUCCUAGAACUGUAACAUUUUGAGGCCUAAGGCACAGUGGGGAACCAAUACCUUUCUGUCUCUUGCGGAUGAAUGUAGAGGCAGCAGCAAGCUGGCAUAUCUCACUGGGAAAUGCACCGUGCUAACAAGGAAGAAGACCAAAAGAUGGAGGGAGCAGCCGGCCAUGAACAACAGCCCAGCCAUAACACCCUGCCGCUCGGAGCCAGCUGAGUAUGGACUGAAACCUCCGAGAACUGUUCAAUGAGAUAAGUUUUUCUCUGUCACAAGUUUGUCCCUUGAUGCUCUGCCUCACCCCAGGUCGAAAGCAAUGUCGCCAACCGAGCAUGAAUUGAGACCUCCAAUAUGAAGCUUUUUUUGGUCUUUUUCCUUUUUAUUGGUACCAGGGAUCGAACUCAUGACUGCCUGCUUUCAAGGCAGGCGCUUAUGCUGCUGAGGUAAACCCCCAGCUGCCCCCCCCCCCUUUUUAUGAGUCGAUUAUUCUAAAUUUUUGUUCUAGUACUAAAAACUGUCAUAAACCCUUUCACUUUGCAUUUUUAGUGAUUUUUCACUAUAUGUUGAAUAGUGUAUAAAAACCCCAUGAGAACCAGAUGCUGUAAGUAAAGCUAUCUUUUAACAAAAGUGGUUCUUGUUUCUGUUUCUAGACCUUUAGGAUGAGGCAUUGGUUGCAUUGUAAUGUCCAGUCAGAGUUAAGCCUGGUGAGGGUUAUCUUGGAGUUUUAUUAAGAUUUGGUCUACAUUUAGCUUUUCUCAUUCUGAAGUCUGAUCUUUCCAGGUUUUGGUUAAAAGCCCAUUAGGUCUCUGUUUUGUAACCUGUGAAAGACUGUGAGAGGUUCUGUUUUUCUCCUCAGAGGAUGUUUGUUUAAUUAUUUAGUGUCUUACUGCAGGUAGCUUCAAAAUAUGGCAGAUGUUUUGAAGGGGAGGCAGGCUCUGUGAGGUUAAUACUGGGUCCUACUUCUGGAAUGUCUUUAGUCCCUAAGCACCACAGGGUAGAGGAAAUUUCACUUUGUGUGUUAGAAGAUUUGUGCUAGUUCUCAGUCCACUUAACUUCAGAACAAAACAAAAUAGCUGUAUGUCUGAAGUGCCUUGAGUUCCCAGCUGUCACUCCACCCAGGUAUCAGCCAUGGGAAACUUCGUGAGCUCAGUUUCCCCCAGUGGAAGCUGGCUGCUUGGAUCAAGGCCAAUGGCAAGUUGGUGCCCAGAGCAGAAGAGUUUUCUAGGGCAACAACUGGAGAUUGUUACCUUUUAUCAUAAUGAUUCUUUUUUCCCCAGACUUCAUUUUAUCAUAUCCUUAUUUGUUCAGUAGCUUUCUGAUAGUCAGAGGACAGUGUUUAUAAUUAAUAUAGCCUUUUCUGUUUGUUGCCAUGGGAGCAUUCGUCUGUGACAGUGUAUUACACUUUACUCAGAAGCCUCCAUUAUGAUUUUAACAUACCUAAGUGAUGUUCUAUUUUAUAUCUCAUCCCUUUUCAUACUUAAAAAAUCUCUUAGCCUUGUCCCUCUAAAGUCAAUCCGUGUUGCUCAGGCCCAUUUGCUCAUUACUCCCAGACUGACCAUGGGAGAUUAUGUUUGGUGCAAAGGAAAGGCUUUACUUAAACCUAGCUCGAGGAGAUGAGCUCAUAUUGACAGAAACUGCCAUCUUAUGCUAUCUAGGUGUGCAAAGGCUUUUUUUUUUUUUUUUUUUUUAAUAAGAAACAGAGGGGCAAAGGAGUAUGGUAAGAUGAUAGACAGCCCCAGUUCCCCUUUCUCUUCCUGGCCACCUUCUCCUCCCUCCCUUCCUUACAACCAUUCACCUGGGCUGAGGAGAGAAGAGUGCGGCCAUUACGCCCUCAGCUGGAUAAAGUCUGGAAGUAUGGCUUGUCUCCAAAGGAAUAACUGUAACUGUUAAAGAUUUAUUUUGCCCUUCUGGUUUCAUUGUGAUGUCCACAGCUCCUACUGCUACAACAGAUUUUGGUUUACCUGCUCACUUUUCUAUUGAUGAAUACUCAUUUUGCUUCUACUGCGUGUGCCACAAGCAUCAUCCAUUUUCCUCAUGGUCUCACAAGAGAAUUCAGUGGGGCUUUGUAUCCCACUGAUUAGAAUAUCUAGAUCUUAUAGGGCUACCAGUGUUUUGUUAUUUUAAUUUGUAUUUCUAUUGCUAAUACAUUUGAGUGUAUGGGCUUCAACUAUUUCUGUGUAACAAACUGCUUUAAAACUUAACGGCUUUAGACAGUGAACAUUUAUUACUUCCCAGUUUCUAUAGGUCAGGAGUUCGGUGGGCACUUAGCUGGUUUGUACUGGCUCCAUGCUGCUCACUAGGUCACGUCCAAGAGACUGGCUGUUCAUCUGAGGGCCUGACUGGGGCUGGAAAAUUCACAUCCCUCAUGUCUGCCUUGCAUGGCUCUUGGCAGAAGAUCUUCGUAUGACGGAAGGUCUUUCUGCCUCAUGGCUCUUCAGUUGUGGCUGACUGAGUGCUCUCACUAUAUGGCUCUGACUUUCUGGUGGGCAGUUCAGAGAGAACAGGGCAGAGACAUGAAUGCAUCAGAUGCAUAGAAAAAUCCCACAGUUGCUGCUGACGUCUUUGGGGCUGUCCUUUGUGAAGUUGUUGGGGAGGAUACUAGAUGGAAAAAGGGAGAUGAAGCAAGUCUAGUGACUGCAAAAUGGGAUUAAGCCAAGAAGAACAUCUUUGUGAGCCAUGGUGGCACGGAUUUGUAAUCCUAGGUACUUGGAAAACUGAGACACAAGGAUUUCAAGUUCAAGACCAAUUUGGGAAACUUAGAGAUUUUUGCCUCAAAAAUAAAUGGCUAGAGAUGUAGGUCAGGGAUGGGCACUUGCCUAGUAUGUGUGAGGCCCUGGGUUCUAUCCCAAUCACUGCGAAAAGAAAAAAAAUGGUCAAAGCAAUAUCGUAUUCUACUGCUCAAGAGAAGUAAUGGCUGCAGGAUGACCCAGGACGGAAUAGCUUUAACCUAAGAUUUGGUGUUUACUAUUGAGUUGAUUAACCUCAUUGUAAACAUGACACCUAUUGGUAAGAAACUGACUUGAGGAAAUGUGAUGACAGCAAUUAUUGCUCAUCCUGCAACACCUGACUGGGACAAAUAUAAGGAAGAAGUAGAAUUGUGACAAAUAUCCUCAACAAAAUGUUAUGUUCUUCUUCAACACAAAUGUUCUAGUCACUUUCUUGUCACUGGAAAAAAUUAUCCAACACCCACAACUUAAAGAGAAGAGGUUAUUUUGGUUCAUGCUUUUUAGAACGUUCAGUCCAUAGUCAGCGGGUCCGAGGACAGAAUUAUCAUGGCAUCCAGGAAGCAGGGAGAGAAGGGAGAAAUUAGGGACAAAAACACACGCUUCCAGGUUUCCCCCUCGGUGACCCAGCUCCUGCCGGGCCCCACACCCUGAAAGAACCUUUCGUUCCUAUAUUUAUCAGUGAAUGAAUCCACGGAUGCAUAUAGCACCCCCAUGAACUUUUGGGGACUUUUUAAUCCAAGCCACAACACCAAACUUCAUCAGCAUUUCAGGGGUAAUAACACAGCAGCUGCAGAGAUCCUCACAUAAUGAAUUUCUGAUACAGCAUAUGUGGGGCUGUGGAGCUGGUGGUUAAAAGUGAAAGAGUGAUUAAGACCAGGUUUCCCCCAUGGGACUUGAUAGAUGCUGCAAAGAGGAGGAGCUAGAAUUCCGGCUGGAAUGAACACUACCCCUGUCAUUUUCUGCCACUAUUCUACUACAGAUUGGAAGCCUGCGAUAAGGCCAAGUAUAGGCAUCACUCCACGGACUAUUCCCCAAGUUUUAUACAUCUCAGUACUGCUAGUAUUUGCCAGGAACCGAGCUAGCCAGGGAUUAUUUCAGAGGUUUGUAUGGUUAGAAAAGGCGGUACCUGGAGUUUUUACUGCCUGCCAUAUGUUCACCUUUUAAAUGUUUUAUUUCUUGGUUUGGUGCAUAUACUUUGCUUUUGUAAUCUAAUACUUUCUCAUACAGGUAAUCCUACAAUACUCCCCACAAUGUGAUAAUGUAAGGUGAACAUUAUCCCAGAAAUAGAAAGUACAGUAUAUUGUUGUUAUAAUUAUUAUACUAAUUGAGUGACAAGUCAUGUCUUUAUGUAUCAAAUGAAGAAUAAAAAUUAUUCCUAAGGUACGUUGUAAGCAUAAAUAGGAUAAUGUGCCUGCACAUAUUUUUUCAAAUGCUCAGUUGCCAUAGAUAUGUGAGUUAUCUUUAAGUGUAUAGAAGUCUUCCUUGGUUUCCCCUGUACAUGAAGCUCUGUGACCUAACACAGCCGGCAUCCUACAACUUCAGGGAGGUUAAUUAGCAAUCAGAACAAGCAGAUGAAGUGAGAACGUGAUGGGGUUGUUUUUAAAGAUACAUUAAGAGUGUAGGCCUAUAAGUAUAGCUCAAUAGGGAAGAGUGCAUACCUAGCAUGCAUAAGGCCCUGAGUUGGAUUUGAGUUGGAUUUGAUUCUCAGCAUGCACACCUAUUCCCACAUACACACACACACAGAAGUGCAAUCUGUAACUAGACAGAUCGUGUAUAUCCAUAUUGACGGUGGUCAGCUAACAUAAUUUUGGUGCAGAGAGAUGUGAAAGUUAGGAGACCAUGAAGAAUCUCUGCCCCAGGUACCAUCUAUAUGAUAUGGACAUGAUGCCACCAAGAAAGGGAAAGGAGUAAAGAGCAAAGGAUUGUACAAACUCACAAAAACAUGUUAUUCCAGUUAUAUAUGUAUAAAAUUAUCUAAAAGUGGGGGUGUAGGUGUAGAAAGUGGAAGAAAAUGUGAAAAGUAGGAUAUAGCACUUUUUAUAACUGUGUUAAUAACUAGGUUAUCGUUGCAUAAGAAACUGGAUUCGACAAGUUGGUGGUUGGGCUCGAACCCCCAGGAUUGCUGAGAAGCCAGCAUCUGUGACUCAAGAGAGGGCCCAGAGUUGUGCUGAGGAAGAUUCAGAUUAUAUCAGACAAGGGUUUUGUAGCUUAAAAAAUAUUGGGCAAAUUACACUCAGAAUGUAAGUUGUCCUCAUAAGACAAAGAAACUUGGUGGGGGUGGGGGGAGGAUGAGAUCUAUUAUUACUCGUGUGCUCAAAAAAGCUCAAGAAGAGUCAGGCUAGGUCAGAAUUAAAAGUAGCGGAACCAAAACUAUUGGGGAUCAGGAUCCCUCCUCUGUGUGUCAUUUCGUCUUAUUGUGCAGUGCUAGGGGUCCACUUGUGUGUGUGUUACGGUCACAAGCAAUCUGUCUGUCUCUAACUUCCUCUUUCCAUGUCAUACUUCCCUCCUGAAAUAUCUCAAGUGCUCUCGUUGCUUCACUAUUUUUAUAUUGUUAAGCUUUGACUCUCUAAGCUCUGUUUAUUGGUUUUCCACUUUUAGAGUCAAUCUUGGUCAAGGCAGAAAGGCUUGCAGUUUAUGGUAAUUAUAUGUUGAAGCCCAGGAGGAUUGUGGACAAAUCUUGAGACAUUUGAGAUGAAAAGGCAGGUUAAUGUUUGGUCUUUUAGAGCAACAGCUUUUAAAACUCUAAAAUUCUUAGAAGAAAAUGUUGGAAUAAAUUUUCUUGACCUUGGAUUUGGCAGUAGGUUCUUAAAUUUGACACCAAAAGCAUAAACAACAGAGCUAAAAAUAGAUAAAUUUUAGAUAUUUCUCCAGGGAAUAUAUGUAAAUUGCAAAUAAGUAUAUGAAAAGCUGCUCAGUAUUCAUUACAUGUCAUAAAAUUACAUAUUAAACCCAAAAUGAGUCACAACUUCAUAUCCUGUAGGAGGGCCAUAAUAGAAAAGAUGGACAAUAUCGUAUGUUGGUGAGGACGUGGAGAACUGGAGCCCUUAUACUCUAAAAAAAUACAUUUACAUUCCUGCCCAGAGUGUGUAAGGAUGGAACUCUCAUGCAUUGCUGGUGGGAACAUAAAAUGGUCUAGUGACUAGAAAAAUUGGCGGUUACUUGACAAGUUAAACAUAGUGAUACCCUGCGACCUAAAAUAAAACACAGUAAUAAGAUAUUGUUGUGUUAUUAUAAACACUUAAAAAUUACAAAAGAAAUAUGUGUGUGGGUAAAAAUGAUAAAAUAUAGAUGAAAAAAAGUGAGACGUCUAAGGAGCUGUACCUCCUCUCUCCAGGGACUGUCCUUCUUAGCUACCUAAUGUCUGAUCAUCCACAUUUUCCUGUGGAUUCACAUGACCUUUACCCCCUAAUUCAGAUCAUGUAUAUACACUGCUUAUAGUUCUUUUUGGUGUUAUAUUUUCAAAUACAUGGUUUCAUUUGAUUUCGCCUUUCCUCUCAUACAUAUCCAUUGAUAAUACCUGCCCAAACUCUUCCUUCUCAGGUAGAGGAAAGAGGCUCUAAGAUUUAGGUUGAAAUAGUAAAAACAGGGAGAUCCACACUGCUGUCUGUCUUAAAUUAUGGUGCCAGAAAUGGCACUGUUUAUUCAUAACUGCAACUCUUUCAGUAUUAUUAUCCUCACAUGAAGACAAGAGUUUUGAAGUUCAGGGAACAGUUCAGCAUAUUUACCGCUACCGUUCACCUAGGGAAGAGGAGAGACAGGAUUCAUCCUCAGAUCAAUCAGAUUCCGUGGUCUACUGUCUGAAUAGUUAUGGGGAUUGUGCGACCUGCUGUUCUUCUAGGACACAGGGGAAAGCAAAGGGAGGAGGGAGGUGUUUCUGGAGCAAAGUCAGCAAAAAUGGCAGAAUAAGGAACUCCACAAAUCCUCCAGCCGUUCAUCUAUUGGUGGGCAUAUGGGCUGUUUCCAAGAUUUAGCUGUUAGGAAUUGUGCUGCUCUAAACAUGCGUGGGCAUACAACACUGUGGUAUGAGGAAUAAAGAAAAUGUUGUAUUUAUAAACAAUGGAGUACUACUCUGUCAUAAAGAAGGAUAAACUUGAGACAUCUUUAGGUAAAUGGAUGCAUCCCGAGACCAUAAUUAUACGGUCUUGAAAUAAAUGAGGCACACAAGUUUAAAUGUCUCCUUUUUUCUCUUGUGUGAGAAACCCAAGGGUAAAUAAGGAACAAAAUGGAGGCUAGAUAUUGGAACUUAGAAAGAACUUGUUCAAAUGAGAAUGUGAACAAAGGAGGGAGUAGAGGGAAGGGAAGGAAUGAAAAGGGAUUAAAAAACAGAAUGGGAGGAAAAAAUUAGAAAUGAAAUUUUGUUUUGGGAGAGAAGUGUUGAAGAGAGGAGUGAGGAAUGGAGAAGUAAGAAUACUUGUACAUAUGUGAUGUACACGUACAAACUCCCCAUGAUUAAUGUGAUCAUAUGUAUGGAAAACAUGUACUACUAAUAAAAAUACAUGUGUAUAUUCUAUAUUUCUAUAUUUGUUUUAUAUAUAUACAUGUAACAAAAAAAUAAAGUCUUCCCACCCACAUAAGCAACAGAUAAACUGGCAAAAGCUUUCAGAAUCAACUUUCUUAGAACUUUGGAGACUAAGCAAAACCUUAGCACAACUAGGGGAGCACACAGUUAAGGCAAACAAGCCGUGUCUCGGUGCGAGCUCUGCGGCUGCUUAACCUAUUCUGGGCGCCUCUCCUCGAGCUCGCUGGCGGCAGCCUUGAAGACAGCAGCCCACAUUCCUGGCAUAUGUACGCGGCGUGGAGGGAGAAUAACACACCCGAGUCUGCAAAAUCAAAGUUUCUUGGUAGUGGAAUUUAAGGUUAACGUGGUUGUCUUCCCACUCAGGGUGACAGUUUGCGUCUCCCUCAUCUGCUUGACCGCCACCAGCGCAUCACUUCUGUUCCUUCGUGUACUCACUUCCGUCAAAAAUUUCUUUAAAAAAAUAUGUUUAAUUGACACAUGGCACUUAUACAUAUUUAUGAGGUACGGUGGUACAGCAUCUUAAUACAUGAAUACGAUGUGUAAUGAUUGUAUUUUUUUGGUGUUGGGAACAUUUGAAAUCUUAAUUAGUGAAAAGCAUUUAAUUUAUUGUUGUCAGCCAUAGCUAUUGUGUUGUGCAAGAGAAGAUUAGAAGUUGUUAUUCCUAACCGGUUGUAACCUCAUACCCACUAACAGCAUAGUUUUUCCCAGACAAGGUCAUGCUAUGUAGUUCAGGCUGGUCUUGAACAGACUCUGUGGCCCAGGCAGGCCUCGAACUCACAGUGCUUCCUGCCUGAGCCUCCAGAGUGCUGGGGUUAUGAUUGUGUGCCACCAGGUCUGGAAACAACAUCAUUUUUAAUAUACCGGCUCAUAGUGAAAUGGUUACUACAAUAAGCAAUUAAAAAUUCAUCAUUUUACAGGUUGUUUUUCUGGUAGGAACAUUAAAAUCUCUUCGGUAAAAUAUCCAGUGUAUGAUAUGCUAUUGUUAACUAUAGUCCUUGUGUUAUACAUUAGUGCUAUAGAUUUAUUCACCUUAUGUGGUUGCACCUUUGUACUCUCUGCCCCUGGUCCCCACUGUUCUGGGUAUAUUAGACUUGCCCCCUGAAGAAUCCACAUAUGAGAGGUCAUAUGCAUGUUUUUCUUUCUGCAUCUGGUUUAUUGCAUUUAAGGUGAUAUUCUCCAGGUUUGUCUUGAUAUUGUUGCAAAUGACAGUUCUCCUUUUUAGAAGCUAAUUAUUAUUCUUCUGUCUGUGUGCUAUGGGAGCAUAUGUAAUGUAUCUAGUUGUCAGUCUACAGAUGCUGAAGAAAAUGAAACUUGCUUGUUUCAGCCACCGGUGGCUCUCUGAAAGAAACUGACAGGGCUGGCUGGGAACUGGCAGGGCUGGAGUGGCUUUGUGUGGUGUGGGAUAGUAGGGAGGUGGGGCUUGUUCAAGGUACAUUAAAGGUAACUGUAAUAGUUUCAGCCUGAAGCAAGAGAUAACUGAGGCAAACAAUAGGGUAAUCAAAGAGCCUGGAAGGAAAGCCUAGAGAAGGAGGUGCUUUGGGAAACAGGGACAUUGGAAAGUUCCCCUGGACUCCUGGAAAACCGAGUGACAACAAAUGCCCAAGGCUGGACAUUCCUCAGCAGACAUCUGAAAAGACCCUGUGCUGUCUCUUUCGGCUGGCCUAGCUUUCAGGCAGCAUUGUUUAUAAUAUCCCUGAAGUGGAAACAGUGCGAAUGGCCACCAACUGAGGCAUGUAUAAAAUGUGGGACAUGACAAUGCAGUAUUCAGCUGUGAAGAGGAGUGAGGUGCUGACCGCGUCGCCACCUGGGUAAAGCCUGAGAACAUUGUGCUGUGUGAGAGAUUGCACAGAGGCUGUGCAAAGCGUAAAUCUAUGCAGGUGAAGCAGCUACAAGAGGUACAUGCAGAAAAGACCAGAAGAUGUUUAGUUGUUGCCAAAGGCUGUUGGUGAAAGGGGUGUAAAGUGACAAUAGGUGUAGUUUCUUCAGGGGUGGUGGAAUGUUCUGGAAAUAAAUAGUAUCAACGAUUGCACAGCACUGCGCGUGAGCUAAAGCUGUGCAAGUACAUAAGUCUAAAAAUGCUGAAAAAGGUGAAUUUUUUGUUAUGAGAAUUUUAGACCAGUAAGAACAAAACUAAAAGACUUGAAAAAUGACACAGGGUGCUCUAAUAGUUUUCAGAUGAAGCCUCCAUGCCAGCAGUGUCUAUAGUGAUGUCAACUUGGAGUUUCUUUGGGGUUGCAUCAUCCAGACAGAAUCCUCCAAGGUUUUGUGAGAAAAGUCAGCUUUUAAUGAAUCUCUAAGGUCUUGUUUGCUUGUGAGUCUCAAGGGGGCUUGUUUGAAAUUUGCCCCAUGGAGUUUAUUUGAAGUUUGUCAUAAUGAAUUGCUUUUUUCCACUUGUAAUUUUUGUGCAGUGGAUGGAGGACAGAGAUUACAGUUAAAUUAAUGAGUCUGGAGGAUGUGGCAACAUUCUAAUUAACAAAACUAUAAAUGAGGCGAUGCCAUGGCCAAGUCUUAUUCGAAGAUGAGCUGUAAUCACUAUUAAGUGUGAAUGCAUCCUCAUAAGCAGAAAUAAACCUAGGCGGAAAGAAUAGGCUUUGGCUUUUGGGAUGAUUCCAUUACUACUCCAUUCUUCCAGCCCUUUGCUCUGACCAAAAACACAUGUGUUAUCCAAGGUUCGAAUUUCCCCCAGUACCAAUUAAUUCCUGUGGCUAAUAAACUUGGCCCUCAUUCAGAUGUAUUAUUUUAACAUAAAUGUAACACAUAAUAUAAAUUCCCCACACAAAAGUGAAUGAGAAGGAGUGUGAGCUCAAGUGCGUAUCCUGCUUUAUUAACCCUGGCUCCAGUAGAUGCACGGCUCGGGAGGAAAGUUCCAUGCUGUAUCCGCAAGGUAGUAUACAGCCCUGGGCAUCUUCUUCAGUCUUUACACACACAUCACCUUGACGAUGAGGCACAACCUGACUGGCAUCUUUGCUUGUUUUAUUUUUGAGGAUAUUAAAAAAUGGAGAAAAAAUUUUUUACAUUUAUCCACAUGCUUGCAAUUUCAAGUGUUCUCCAAGUUUAUAUCUAUCUCUAUCAUAUCUCCAAGGUUACUACAAUUUCAAGAGCUCUUUAAGUUCCCAUCUGGUAUCUUUUUCCUUCUGCCCAGAGAACUUUCUGUUAUAUAUAUAUAUAUAUAUAUAUUUUUUUUUUUUUUUUUUUUUUUUUGGUCUUUUUGAGUUAGGGUCUCACCAUGCAGUUCAGGUAGUAGGCCUUGGGCUCUCUUUGUAGCCCAGUUGCAACAAUCUGCCUGCCUCAGCCUCCCAAGUGCUGGGAUACAGGAGUGCACCACCAUACCUGGCUUUCUGUAAUAUUUCUUGUAAUUUAGCUAGCUGACAACAGUUUUGACUUGGAUGAAGUUCAAGUUUUGACUUGUAUAAAGAAAUCUACUUCAAGGCCAAAAGUGGUAGCACAUGCCUAUAAUUCCAGAACUUGGGAGGUUGAGGCAGGAAGAUCACUGCAAGUUUGAGGCCAGCAUGGACUUACAGAGUGAGUUCAAGGUCAGCCUUGAGAGUGAUAUCCUAUCUGAAACAAACAAACAAACAAACAAACAAAUAAACAAACCCCCCAAACCAAAACCAAAACUAACCAACCAACAGAUGAACAGUACCAGUGUCAGUUUUGAAAAAUAUUUCCAUUGAACAUGGAGUUUGCAAUGACUUUCCCUUGUCUGCAUUUGAAAAAUGUCUUUCUAUGCUCUUUGGCUAGGAUCAUUUCUGAUGAAAUCUGUAAUUCUUAUUUGUGUUCCUCUUUAUGUAAUAUUGUCUCCUUGCUUUAAAAUUUUUUUUGUCUCUGGCAUUCAGAAAUUGGAUUAUGAUGUGUCUAUAUGUGAUUUUGUUUGUGUUUAUUCUACGUGCAGACACAUUGAGCUUCACAGCUACAAUAGAAGAAAAUAUUAGUGGACUGUGAAAUAAACAUCCCUUUCUUUAAGCUGUGGGUGUCAGUGAUCAGAAAGUGACUAAGGUGGACAGGUGCAGUCCCAGCACAAGGGUGUGAUCACUCUGGUUUUCUUGAUGUGUGCCUCAGUUGUUUACUGGACCAGCCUUGCUGUGGCUCUUAGGGACUCCAAUUUCCAGGCUGUGUGAGGUCUAGGAAUUGUUCGGCUUCUUGCUUUUUGGUAAUUGAUUUUGUCAACAAAAUUUAGUUUUUGUUUUUAUACUUUUAAAGUAGCAAUGAAAUCUUUAUUUUUAAUACGCCAAAUUAUUAAAUAGUUGCAUAGUGAGAAAUUGUCUCUUAAAACAAUUUAAUCUUUUUGCUGUGUAUAAUUUCAAAAAUUGAUGUGUAAUAAUUAUACAUAUUUAUUCAGCCUUAAGUAGGCCACUGCUUGAUUUGUGGAAUUCUUUGCCUGGUUACUGCUUCUCUAAUUUUCUGACCCAUGGAUUCUCGCUUCUUUGGCUUCUUGAUCUUCAGGGUCUGACUUUUCCUGUCAGGCCAAUUUUUUGCUUCCUGAUCCCUGCAGCCCUUUCUGAAAUGGUCUCAAAGCAGCAAGUCCUAUUUGCUUUUCUUUUUCUCCCCUUGAAACUGGUUUUCUGCCACUUUUUGAUUAAGUCUGACAACAGUUUUUCCAUAUAUUUGGUCUGGUUUUCUAGUGGCUUAAAGCAGAGGGCAAAUCCAAACCCUGUUAUUCCAUCAUGGCUGGGAGAGAAAAUCUCAACCCUUCCUUUUCUUGAGAAAAAUAUUUUUGUACAUUUAAUGUGCAUUUUGUGUAUUGUAACAGUGGGUAUCUUCAUACACAUUUCUCAGAUGAAGAAAUACAAAUGGCAGACAAAUAUAUGAAAAAAAUGUUCGAAAUCAUUGGUCAUUUGAGAAAUACAAAUUAAAGUCACACUGAGAUUCCAUCUCACACCAAAAAGAAUGGCAUUAAAAAAAUUAUCCAAUAACAGAAGCUGGCAGGGCUGUGGGGAAAAAGGAGCCCUUCUCCACUGUUGGUGGAGGUGUAGACUGGUGCAUCUCUGUGGCAAUCAGUGUGGAGAAUCCUCAAAAAACUAGGAUUAGAAGUUCCAUUUGGCACAGCUAUUCCCCUUCUGGCUAUUUUUCCAGAAGAAUUGGAAAUACAUGGGCACCCAUGUUUAUAGCAGCACAAUUUGUAAUAGCUAGGUCUUGGAAACAACACAAAUGCCCAUCAAUCAAGGAAUGGAUAAAAAAGGUGGUAUUUUUAUGCACCCGAGUACUCAGCUAUAAGGACAGAUAUAUUUGAGGCUUUCGUAGGUAAAUGGAUGCAACUAGAGACCAUAUUCAUAAGUGAAAUAAAUCAGACUUGCAUGUGUACACUUCAUAUUGUCUCUAGUUUAAGAAACUGAAACAAUAAUUAAGAUCCAAAAGGUAAAAUAAGCUCCAAAACGUAAAAUAGAUAUUGUGAAAGGGAAAGAAACUGCUCAAAAGGAAAGAACUGGGAUGAGGGAAAGGAGAAAAGAAGAAAGGGAAAAAUAUAUGCAAUGUAUAUUAAAUAAAAAUAAAUAUAUAUUAAAUAUAAAAAUACACAAGAUAACUAAGGUAAUUGUACUACUAAUUCUAUUAUUUCAUUGAAAGGAACAGUUAUUAUUUAUAUUGUUUAAUCAAUUUUACGUGCUUGUAUUUGAUAAGCUGAGCAACUAUUUUGAAGAUAACAAUAUGCAAUAUAAUAGCCAUUGUUAAUUUCUUAUUAUCUUGUUUUGAAAUUUUGUAUCAUUUUUAUUGUUUUUUAUUCUCUUUAAAAAGAUGGGCAUCUUUUAUAUGAUAGUAUGUCACUAAUAUUUCUAUUUUUUAAAUAUAGGUCUUUAUUGUCAAAUUUUACAAGCUCUUUAUAUUAAAGAUGUUCACAUUUCAUCUGAUAUAAAUUCCGUUAGAUUUUCUCCAUUUUUAAAUUAUGUUUUGACUUUCUUUAUGGGUUUUUUCGCGUAAAAUUGCUUUUUAAAAUGCAGUCACAGUUGUUAAUAUUUUAUUUAUAAUCUCUGGGUGUUAAAUAACAUUCUGCCAAGUAUUCCCUGCUUUCUAGUUGUAAAUAGCCACCUUUGUUUUAUUUUUGUUUCCAGAAUACACAUAAUUUCGAAGUUUAUGUUGGAAGCAUUUGAGACUUAUACUGAUUAAAGCAUGAGACUGGACCUAAAUGUUACUCUCCAUAAGUCUGUUUAGUUGUACCACUUCCAUUAAAAAAUGACAAUUCUUCCUUUUCCAUAUUGACUUCAGAUUCUACCUUCUUCAAAUAUUAAAUUUACUUUUGUUCUUGAAUUGUAUCUGCGUUUUAUUUCUGUUCCAGUGAUCUAUGUUCUAUUCUGACGCUAAAGUCAUGUUUAAUUGUAGGAGCUUUAUAACGAUUUUGCAUCUGUUAGAAUUGGCUUCUACAUACUAGGUUGACCUUUUCUCACCAAGAUUUCUUAUGUUUUGCUUGCUUGCUUAUUCCUUCCUGUAUACUUCAAAAUCAGAUUGUCUGUCUCCAGAAAGGAAAAAAAAAACCUUUCUAAUGCUGAAUCUGUUGAGAUCAUAUUACACUGAGAAUCAAUAUAUCCUACUGUUGAGUCAUAAAAUGCGAGCGCAUGGUAUAACUUUUCACUUGUUAAAACUGCAUUUGUGUGCUUUAGGCCUGUUUAUACUUAUAGUCCUAUACACUUCAGAUUUUUGCCAGGAAUUUAAGUUUUCCAUCAUGAAGUGAUGUGAUGUGACCUAUCCAUGUUAGUCAGCUUGUAUUAUUUUUAGUACUUUUUCAUUUAUUCCUUUAAAGCAUCUAUCUCUCUGUCUGUAUGUCUACCUACCUACCUUUCCUUCUUGCUUUCUGAUUGUCUGCCUGUAAUUGUUCUUCUUUUGCAUUUUCUUUUCCCUUCUUUACAAUAGUAACAGUAAUAGAAAAUGAUAGUGGACAUCUAUUCUGGCUUAGAUUUUAAUGGUUUUAAUGAGUGCAACUAAUAUUUUUGCACUAGGGCUCUCUUCACAUUUUCCUUAGGCAUAUUUCUAUUUCAUCAAAUAUUUAAAAACAAUGAAUGAGGAUUAGAUUUUUUCACUGCUUUUUUAUGUCUCUUGGUCCCACCAUCUCCCAUUCCCUCAAAUAACCAUUUUCCAUUUUAUACCUUUAGUCUCCUUUUCAUACAAAUUCCUUCCUCAGUGUACAGAUAGUAAUAAUGGCUUUGUUAUCCUAAAAAAUCCUCCCAAGUCUCUUCUUAUCUCUUUCUUUUUAUUGUAAAUUUUUAAAAAUGUGUUUUAUUCUUAUGCCUUGUCUUCCUGUGUACAGUCAAGGGCUGAUACUCAUUUUAAAUAAAUUAUAUCAGACUGUGAGUAUCUUUUUUUCAUAUCCAGUGCCACAGAAGCCCUCCUGCAGAUGUACCUAUGUCUGAGAAUCUGGGUUUUUGUAUGCAUUUUAGAACUUGCUGUCAGGUCUUUGUUGGACAGGAUGGAGCUCUAAAGCAUGUGUGAUUCUGGCUUUGAAUUUCAGGCAUGAUGCCACCAGGUGGCACUAGCAGAAGGAGUGAUUCAGAAGGUCAUGAUGCUUUUUGCUCAGUUGAUUUUUUUUUUUUUUUUUUUUUUGGUACCGGGGAUCAAACACAUGACCUCACGCUUACCAGGCAGGCGCUUAAGCAACUGAGCUAAAUCCCCGGCCGCUCAGUUGAUUUUUAAACACUAUGUUCUAUUUCUUUUUUAUGGGAAGAUACGGUUUAUUUAAUAUACAGAUGUGUAUGUAAAUUUAUUUAUUGUGCCUACUUAUUUUAAAGAGUAAAUUCUAGCAAGCAUCAAGAUAUAGUUAAACAAAAUUUUAAUUUAGAGGGAAAUAACAAUAGAGAGGAAAAAACAAAAAAUAGGAAGCCUAAAGAGAAAGCAGGGAAGGGGCUGAGAUCCCACACUCCCCUUGGGGCAUGUUCUCAGUGACCUGAAGAGUUCCUCUGGUGGGUCUCCUUACUUACAAUUCUCUCCCGCUUCCUAACAUCGUCCUGCAGACAAAGCCCAAGCUCAUGAGCCUUUGCGGGCAUUAAGAUCCAAGCUACAGCAAUAAGUGGGGCUGUGGCAAGGCCUCGAGCAUGUCCUUCCUUGGAUAGCCCUGUUCUCUCUCUGGUUGUUCUGAGUGCCCCUUUUGUAGGGAGGAGCUGCUGCUCUCCUCUACUUGUGCUGAGGUUUGUAACACUAAUUUGUGGAAGCAGAGAGGAAAUUAGCAUCCUGUUGCGGCUGUGGUAUUAAUCUGUCCUAUCAACCUCAUCAAUAUUUAGGCUAUUUAUCUCCUUCCUGGCCCCUUUGUCUUCAAAAUUUCCUACUCAAGAGUGUGGAGAGGAGGGUGAUCAAUUGUCAUGAAACUAUGGUUUGAGUCUUGACUUCCCCUUCCAAAGGCCCAUGCAGAGGGCCUCAGCUUGGCACUGUUGGGAAUUGGUGAAACCCUAGGAAAUGAGAUCUCAUGGGAGGUUUAGGUCAUUGGGAGACGUGUGACCCUGACUUUCCUUUUUCCCUCCUUCAUGCCUAGCUAUGAAGUGAGAACUGGCUUCCUCUCCCACACCUUCCCACUGUGAUGUACCAUCUCACCAUGGGCAGAAAAGCCACAGAGUCAACCCACCCUGAAUGCAAUCCUCUGAGACAGUGAGCUGAUAUAAACUGUGCUCAGCGACUCGCAAACCACCCCUAGCCACUGUGUCAGUAUUAGACAGAGCUUUCUAUAAAACUAUCACUGUCUCCUCUCUCUCUCCCGCCCUCUCUCUGAUCAUCUAUUUCAGUGGAUUCAUUUGUUCUAAUGAAUUGGCUCAUGCAGUUGUAAGGGGUGGGAAGUUUGAAAUUUGUAGAAUGGUGAAUGCCCUUGAAAUUCAGAUAUGAGUUUUCAGUCUGAAAUUCAUCAUGCAGUACAGUUGGCUGGGAGGGAACUCAAGAAAAAGCCGAUGUUAGGUUACAAGGCAGAAUUUCUUCUUAGGGAAGUGUUUGGCUCCUGCACCUUCAGACGAUUGGCUGAGGUCUCGUACAUGACAUAGAGUGUACCUACUUAAAGCCAACUGAUCGCAAAUGUGAAUCAUAGCUGCACCAAACCUUCACAGUAGUGAAGGCUGAAUCCCUUGGCAUGGCUAAGCUGAUGUGUAAAACUUGUCAUCAUAAGUCACCCCACGUUGAUUUCACAUUCAGACAUAGUCCUUUGUGCUUAAUUGCCAGGUAAAGACAGUUGACAAAGAGUGCUGUGCUAACAUGAUACAGCAGAACUGACACACAAAAUUAACAACCAUACCACUCUUUUUCAAAGCUCUCCGAUUUCACUCUUCCACAUAUGCUGUGAUUUAUCCAGAAUAUCACCUACCUUUCCCUAAAUAUACAUGAAUUUUCUAUGCCUCCACAAAAAAUCAUGCUAUUUUCUUUUCUUUCUUUCUUUUUUUUUUUUUUUUUUUUGGUCUUUUUCCUUUUUAUCGGUACCGGGGAUUGAACUUAUGACUGCCUGCUUACAAGGCAUGUGCUUAUGCCACUGAGCUAAAUCCCCAGCCCCUGCUAUUUUCUUUAUAUGGAAAGUCCUAGCCCACUCUCUGCUCGUCAUCUACUUUAGGAUUGGUGGUGCAUAUCCUCCCCAAUUUACAAUGGGGUUAUUUCCUGAUAAUUCAUUGUAUCUUGAAGGUACCAUCUGAUUAGGUGGAUUAAAUACACCUACCUUGCUGAACAUCAUAGCUUAGCCUAGCUCCUUACACAUUCUCCGAAAGCUAAUCUGGGCAGCAUUUAAGAACAUUAAUGUCUUUCCAUGAGUUUUGGAGCUCGUGGCCAAAUUCAGAUGCUUUGAAAGCCCAUUGCAAACAUUUAGUAUAAUACUUAGAAUGUACCAAUUGCACCUUGACCCAUUGAGUGAAAGUGACAAUUCAAUAGUAAAUACAUCAGGAUGCACAUUAUGGAUAUGUGUGGAUACUUCACAGCUUUGUCUGAUCAGGAGCUUCUGGAAUGGGAUGGAAUUUUGCUUACAAUAUUCUCUUGCAACAAAAUAGUUCAGAACCUCUCUUCAAACAGUGCUGGUAUCAUCCAGGCCUUCUUGUUACAGUGACAAUAAAUGGGCAAGCAUAUCCUGGCUCGUGUUCUCAAAUGCUCUAUGGUUCCCUAAAUGUUGUAUUAGGAAAGGCUUUAAUUCUAGUUUUGUAGCAUUUCCAUUUGAAAACAGUUUGUUGAAUAUUGUGAAUCCCAUGGUUAUUUUGGAUUACUAGUAAAUCUAUGUGUGUUUUAGCACUCAGUUCCAGCAUAGCUUUGUUUUGUGGGCGUUAAAUGUUUGUUUUGGCAAGCACUUCCUAUGCACAAUUACCCUUCUGCAGCUCUUCCCUGAAAACUCCUGUGGUUUGGCAUUUGCCUCCUUAUCACUGACCUUCACCGUGUGGUGUCUUUAAAGCGCCUGCACCUGAUACAAACAUUUGUGUAUAUGUAGGGUCACUGGCACAGCUGUUUGGUGUAUCAAAGGGAUUUCUUGCCUCACCAGGAUCAUUAGUAGACUAAGAAGUGUGUGCUCCUAUAUGGAUCUUCCAUCCAUGCAGAAGUAAUUUUCCUGACCAUCUAGCACCCCUACUCUUUUAUUCAUGAUGACAAUGAAUUUAACUGAUGCAGAUGAUUUUUCUACAUUCAUUUCAUAUACUUUGAGAUGGUUAAAAUCAUCAGUUAUGGAAGUCUUAACUCACAUGUUGAAAGCUUUUUGCUUUGAAGUUGAGUAAUCGUAUUUUUUCUUUUUUUGUGACAUGAGGGAUUGAACCCAGAGCCUUCACACUAGAUAAAUCAAUAACUCAUUUUAUUUUUUUCAAUGUUGAGAUAGGAUCUUAGUUACUAUAUUGCCCAGAUUGGGCUUGAACUUGUGAUCCUCCUAACCCUGCCUCCCAGAGUGUGGGAUGACAGAUGUGUGCCACCAUACCCAGCCUUUGCAAAUUAUCUUGAAUUUCAUUUCAGAAGCAUUUGCUCUUCUUCUUACAAGAAGCUGGAGACACAGAUGGGGAUGUUUUAUGUAUGAUAGGAUGCAAAAACAUAAAAUAAGAUAUCCAAAAAAUGCGCGGCAAAAUGAGAGAGUGCUGGUUAUGACCAUGUGGCCGCCUGGGAGCUGUCUCUCUAGCACUACACAGCAUCAUGGGAGAGUAUCCUACUGCAUAUGGCUAAUCUAGAAACACAUCGAAACUCCAAGUACAAUUCCUGCUGAAUGUGUAGCUCUUUCACACCGCUAUAGAAUCAGAAUGUGUAAGUUGAACCAUAGUAAGUUGGGGACCAUCUGUAAUGAGUUCUUAAAUAUAUCUUAAACCAUGAUCAGGAAUUUUUAUAGUGAUGUUGUUAAAAAAUAAGACAUGAUUCUGAGUAAAAUUAAGUAAUAACAUAAGUAAAAGUAUGGCACCUUAUCUAUCACAAAAAUAAAUAUAUACCAUAUAUCAUAAACCAUAAUCAUUGAAAAGCAUAAAAUUAUAAAAUAAAUCAUGCAAAAUACCCAACAAACUACUUGUAUUGAUAAUACUGUGAGUCCUUGACUUACGAUUGAGUUCCAUUUAGGAAGAAGUGUUUAUAAGUCACAUUUGUUUGCAAGGCAACAAUGAGUUUUGUACAGUACACCUGUGAAGGUUUGAAAUGCAAAUGUUUCUAGGUUGGGGACCUACUGUAUAUGAAAUCAAGGGAUGUGUGUGUGUCUCCGCUUGUAUAUGUGGGUGUCAAAGACUGACCUCUACUGUAAUAGUGAUUGUUCAAAAUAGAAAUGCUAACAAUACUGUAUAUUAAACAUUAAAUAAUUAUGAUGCUUUUCGCUAUGUUAGAUUUGGGAAGUAAUUUGGGAAAUGUACUUGUCUGAGUUAUUUUCUUGUCAGUAGGACAUAAUAUAUAUCAUAUAUUAUAUGAUAUAUAUAAUCUCUCUCCUAUCUCUGUCUCUAGCUAUGUCUACAUCUUUAUGUUGCGAACAAACGUAUUUGUAGUUGCUUUGUUGACCUCAGAGAAUUAAUAAUUGGUUUAAUUUUUUAAUCUUUUAAAGUAUAGCUCUUGUAAGACAAAUGGACUACAGACUUUUCCACUCUUUUUCUGCGUGUUAUUUUUUAGGAGAGUAGUAACGCUUGGAAUGUGUUCUGUUUGGACAUUUUUUUGCUCUUCAUGCAAAAACAAAAAGUGAGUGGAAGAGAAAAACAAGUAUAAAGAAACAGGAAACAAGUAACGUGUUGAAUCAUGAAGAAAGGGCUGCUUUUGCUUUGCCAAGAGGAUGGUGGAGGAGGUUUAUGACCAGUCACGGUGGUGUAAGAGCUGGGCACAGCCUAGAACACCGUCCUGCCCACUCCCUCUCACUUCCCUCAGCUCUCCAUCUGGCUAGUGUUACCCAGCGACGGUUCUUAGUUGCAAAACAUAGAAUCUGACUCUGGCAAUCUUCAGCAGGAAAGGAGUUUGUUGGAAAGAUAGAUAAUGAUUCACAGAAUUGCAGAGAAGGAUAGGAAAUCAUAUUCAGAAGAUAAUAAGGAUAAAAGGGAAGCCAGAUGGCUAGAAUCACAAGGUUCCACGUGAGGAAUAUAUCAGGUUAAGACAUACUGGCCACUGGACUUUGCCAGUAGCCCCUACCUGAUAGCUCCUACCAUAUAUAAAACAUGUCUUGUUGCUAGAGGUUGUCAUUUCUGACUUUUUGUGCAGUGGUUCUUUGCCCUUCUUACUCAGAAGUAUAGUCUUGAGUUGGAGCAUCUAAUCAUCUGCAGCUUUGAAUCUUCAACAGUGUAAAUUCAGGUUUUCCUCUGGUCUUAUUAGCUACCUACCAUUUGUGUGGUCUAAGUAGCCACAAAGUGGAAAAGUUUCAACUAAGACUCAAUCGAGGACAGAUUCUCCUGACAGAGAAGCUGGAUCUGAUACUGGGAAGCCAAAGAUCAACUACACCUUCUUGUACUUCGGGUAAUCGGUGGAAGAGAUAACUAUAUCUUAUUUCACUGCAAGAUCUGUCUGCAGGACAGGAGCAGCUGUUGUGGGUGUUGCAGACAUAUAGACAAACGUCACCUUCUUUUUUAAUAGUACUUUUUUAGUUUUGCUGAGGUUCCCAUGUCCUCAGCUUUUCUCUAAAGGUGUCCCUUAUUUCAGGGUGAAUGGAUCCAAGUGGACAUGCUGGCUUGAGCCUGUGCUUUCUUUGUGCUGCUGGGGAUGCCUCCAGACUUGCACUGCUCAUUAGGCUCUUCUCCAGCUCCAUGUUUCAGACCUGUGCUACAUUGUGGUUGUUCAUCCUGAGUUUAAAGAGAUGGCUGGGGUGGGGAGGAGUUGUUUGCAGGAGAUAUGGACAGAUAGUUUAAGUUCCGGGUAUGUAACUGAAAAGGCCUGGGAAAAAGUUUAAUUUUUCUUACUUCUUUCAAAAAAUAAACUUUGUAGUUUUAACAUGUUCAGGCUCAUAGAAAAAUUGGGAGAGACCAGGAAAAGGGAUUCCUAAUACUCCUUACUCUCCUCAUGAAUAACUUUCAGUUUCAGCAUUUCUACCGGAGUGGCACAUUUGCUAUGACCAAUCAGUGAGACCACAUUGAUCCACCAUUAUCAUCAUACAAUGUCCUCAUUAGUAUGUAGUCUUUUCAGAUUGGCUUCUUUCACUUAGUGAUAUGCAUUCAAGUUUCCUUCAUGUAUUUUCAUAAUUUGAUAGCUCUAUUCUUAUUAGCUCUGAAUAAUAUUUCAUUGUCUGAAUAUACUGUAUAUCCAUUUCAUUGGGUUGUGUUAUUUGUUAUUUUUUCAAAGAAUUCUUUAUAUAUUUUGGAUAAUAAUCUUUCAUCAGAUGUAUUUUUUACACAUAUUUUUUCAUAAUCUUUAACUUUUUUUUCCCAGUAUCGGGGACUAAACUCAUGAUCUUGCAUUUGCCAGGCAGGCACUUAUGCCGCUAAGCUAGAUUCCUUGCCCUAACUGACUUCUUAAAUUGUCUUGAUAGUGUCUUUUUAGAGCAGAAAAAUGUAACUUGAAUACCAUCCAGCAUAGGAGUUCUUUCAUGGAUCAUCGUUUGAUGCUCUGUAUAAGACAUUAUCACCAAACCUUAACUCAUCUCAAACCUCGCGUCAAUUCUUCUAUGUUAUCUUCUAGGACUUUUAUAGUUUUACAUUUUAGAUUUAGGUCCAUGAUCCGUUUUGAGUUAUUUUUGGGAAGGGUGUGAAGUCUGUGUCUAGGUUCAUUUGUUCUCUGUUUGGAUGUCCAGUUGCCACAGCAUUAUUUUCUGAAAGGAUUCUCACUGCUGCAUUGUAUUGACCAUGCUUCUUUGCCAAAGAUGACUUGACUGUAUUUAUGUGAAUCUCUUUUUGGACUUUAUUUUGGUUUUUUGAUCUAUUUGCCUAUUCUUUGGCCAAUACCACUUUGUCUUGGUGUCUUACUGUGACUUUGAAAAUGGGCAAUGCCAGUAUUUCAAAUUUGUCCUUCUCUUUCAAUAUUGUGUUAGUCACUGUAGAUCUUUUCAAUAUAAACCCUAAACCAGUUUAACAAUAUACACAAACUAGCUUUCUGGGAUUUUUAUUGGGAUUGUAUAGAAUCUAUAAAUCUAGUGGGGAAGAACUGACACUUGAAAUAUUGAAUCUUCCCAUUUACACACACAAAUAUGUCUUCCUUUAGUUCUGUUUGUGAAGAGACUCCUUUUAAAGGAGGUAUUUACUCUUCUGGUAGUUCUAACACAACUUACUGGACUUAAACCAAAGUGUAUCAUAUUUGAAGGAUACUAAUAUAAAUGGAAUUCUACAUUUAAUUUCAAAUUGUGCUUGUUCCUUGCUGGUGUACAGGAAAGUGAUUAAUUUUAAAAAACUUACUAAUUUUGCAUUCUGUAACCUUGUGUAAUAGCUUAUUAUUCCGGGAGGUUUUUGGUUGAUUCUUGAAAUCUGUGAAUAAACUUAUUUUUUUCUUGCCAGUAUAUGUUAUUUUUAUUUUGUUUUUGUCUGAUUAGGACUUCUGAUAUUUGAGUCUGUUUCUCUUUUAUAAGGUUAUUAUUGCUUUAACUUUUUAGUAGAUCUGUCUAGUGAAAAUGUCUACUUUUCCUUUUGGUUUUUAAAUUUUUGCUAUUACAGGUUUGCUGUGCAAAAGACUGCAUUAAUUGUAGAGCAUUGGUACAGAUACACAACACAUUUUAAAAUUUACACUUCCUUUCUCUAAACUUCAUCUCUAGAUCCCAUUUUCUUUUGCUAAAGAUAUGUCCGCAUUCCUACUUAUCUAUCUCUUAUGUAAUUCUUUAAUUUUAUGUACUUUGGGUUUCUCAUACUAGAGAAACCAUGUGGUGUUUAAGCUUGGGUGUCUGAAUUAUUUCACUUACUAUUAGAGUUUGUAGGCACAUCAGGUUAUCUGCAAAUAAUUCAAACCUAUACUUCUUUGUGGCUGACUAGUAUUCCAUUUGUAAAAAUACCACAUAUUCUUCAUUUCUUCAUCUGUUGAUGGACAUAUAGACUACUUGAAAAUUUACCUAUUAUGUGUUGUGCUGCAAUAACCAUGGGCAUGCAUAUAUAACUGUAAUAUGAUGCCUUUAACUCUUUUGAGAAGAUACUAAGUAGGGGACUAGUUGGAUAAAAUGAAAUUUCUAGUUUAAAAUUUUUUGAGGGCUCUCCACAUUGAUUUUCACAGUGAUUGUACUUGUUCAUAUUCCUACCAACAACUUAGGAGAGUUCCUCUUUCCUUGAACCUUGGCAGUAAUUUGAUAUUAUUUGAUUUCUUUCUUUUUUUUUGGUACCAGGGAUCGAACUUACCACCUUGCACUUGCCAGGCAGGCUCUUAUACUACUGAACUAAAUCCUCAGCCCCUGAUUAUUUUUUUUUGUCUUUUUGAGAUAGGAUCUCACUAUGCAGUUCAGACUGGCCUUGAGCUCACUUUGUAGCGUAGGCUGGUCUCGAACUUGCAAUGAUCCUCCUGCCUCAGCCUCCUUAGUGCUGGGAUUACAGGCAGGAGCCACCACGCCCGACUCAGCCCCUGAUUCUUGAUGACAACCAUUCUUCAUGUAGUAAGAUGGAAUCUCAGGGUUACUUGCAUUUCUUUAAAGGACAGAGAUGUUCAAUAUUUUUUCACGUACUUAUUGGCCAUUUGUACUUUUUAGAAGUCUAUUCAUAGCACCACGACUGGGAUAAUCUUGAUUCUUUCAUACUUGUUUAACCAUACCAUUAAGCUUAGUAGAUGAUUUAUUUUGAAGACUAUUCUGUGGGUUGCUGAGAAGAAUAUAUAUUCUGUUUUUGGGUGGAACGCUUUGUGUGUGUGGAUAUCUUUUUUUUUUUUUUUUUUUGUAUCGGGGAUCUAACGCGCAACCUCGUGCUUCCCAGAGCUUACACCACUGAGCUAAAUCCCUCGCCCCUGGAUAUCUAUUUAUUCUAGGAUGUGUUUCUACUUUAAUAUCUCUUUGUUGAUUUUUUUUGUCUAAUUGAUCUGCUUGUGAUAAUGCGGUAUCUAUGAUGGUUGUGUUGAAGUGUAUCUGAUCUUUUAUGUGUAGUAGUAUUUGUUUUAUGAAAUUGUGUCAGUAUCUGGUGCAUAUGAAUGUACACUUAUUACCUUUCCUGUUUAAUUGUCCUUUAUUUAAAAUAUAGUGACUUAUUUUUGCCUCUUCUGAUUGUUUUGGAGUGAAGUUCACUUUGUCUAAAAAGAGAAUAGAAUUCCUUUUGGAUUCCUAUUGUGUGAAACAUUGUUUUCUAUCCUUUGAUUUUUAGUUUAAUGGAUUACUUUUUGGAUUAUGUGGUAUACCAUUGGGAUAUGUGGUAUACCUUGGGAUUUGCUUUUAGAUCCAAUCUGCUAACCAGUGUCUUUUGAUUGGAGAGUUGAGAUUAUUUAUAUUGAGUCAUUAUUGAAAGAUAUUGACUUAUUCCUGUCACUGUAUUAUUUUUCUGUUGCUGCUUCCUUUAUUUUUCCUUUUUCAUUAACUGCUUACCUUGCUUCAUGUGUUCACUCUGUUAGAAUCUUUGGCAUUUUUGACUUCUUUAUCUGUGUAUCUUCGAGAAUGUUUUGGAUUGCUGAUUUGACUGUCAUGAAUUUUUAAGGUGCUCUUUGUAAUAGAAAGUCCUUAUUUCUUCAUUGGUUUUGAAAGACAGUUUUUCAGGAUAUAUUAGUCUGAGCUAAAAAUUGUUUUCUUUUAGGGACUGAAACACUUAAGUUCUCCUGGCCUUUAAGGCUUGUGGUUGAGAAGUCUAAUAUAAUUCUAAGGGUUUACCUCUAUAACGGAUGUUGGUUUUCUCUAACAGCUUUUAAAAUUCUGUCCUUGUGUUGGACUUCUGAUUAUGAUGUUUGUUGUUAGGAUUAUUAAUUAAUUAAUUUUGACUCUUUUUAAAUUUUGUUUUCAGGUCGAGGGAAAGACCAUCUUUCCAUUUUUCUGUAGGUUUUUAUUUUUCAUGAUCGGGAAUGGGAAUUUGUGAAAUGUUUUUUUCUGCAUUUAUUGAGAUGAUCAUGUAAAAUUUGUCUUUGGCUCUGUUAAAAUGGUGUAUUACAUGUAUUGAUUUUUGUAGGUUGAACCGUCCCUACAUUCUCAAGGUGAAUUCCACUUGGUCAUGGUGGAUGAUUUACUGCAUUCUGUUUGCUAGUAUGUAAUUGAGGAUUUUGGGUCUAUAUUCAUUAGGGAGACAAGCCUGUAAUUUUCUUUUUUUGGUUGGAUUUUCUCUCAUUUUGGAAUCAGGGUAAUACUUGCUUCCAGGAAUGAUUUUGGAUAUAUUGCUCCCCUUUCAAUUUUCUUAAGGACUUUCAGAAUUAGUGGCAUUAACUUGCCUCUAAAUUUCUUGUAGAAUCCAAAAGUCAAUCUGUCAGGGCCUGGGGUUUACUUUAUUAGUAAAUUUUUAAAUUGCAUUUUCAGUUUCAUUGGCUGAUAUCAGAUUAUUUAGAAUUUUUAUCUUCUUUUUUAUUUUAUGGAAAAGAGGUUAAACAAAAUUCCAUAAGAAAAUAAUAGGAUAAUAACAAUAGUUCAUACAUUACAUAUUGUUAUCUUUAAAGUAGUUGCUAAGAUUAUAAGAUAUGGACAUAAAAAUUUAUUUAAUAGAUAGUAGCACAAACCUUCCAUCUUAAUGAACUAAGAGACACUAAUAGUCUAAUUGACUUACAUUUGUUCCCUUUUCCCUGCUGCUCUUUACCCUUUGGCCCAUCAUAGUUAAUCUUCCCUUUUGAACAAUUUGCCAUUUCACAGUAUCUGUUAUACAUUUUAGACCUCAUAUAUUCUUCCAGUUUCUCACCCCUGGGGGAAAAUAAGAUGCUUACACAUGUGAGCCUGAUUUAUUUCAUGUAUGGGUGUGGUCUCAAGUUGCCUCCAUUUACUUAUAAAAGUCUUAACCAUUUCCUGUGAGUCAGUGCCAUUGUGGACUGUAGGGGAAGAGAACAAGAAGUCACCAAGAAGCAAGCCCUCCCUGUGAACUGAUGCCAUGUGCAGACCACUGGGAGGAGAGCUGGAUGCCAGCCUCUUCUGGUACAUGGAGGAGUUCCCCUCUCCAUUGUAAGUCACUGGCUGAUAUGGAGAAACACAGGCUGCAGUGAUGGAUAUUGAGAUAGAAUACAAUUUAAUGCUUGUAGUGUUCAGUGUUUCACUGACUUUGCAGGUCUAACCUGAUCAUCUAUUCAGAUGACUAGACCUCUUUGGUGACUUGAUGGUGACAGAGGAUGGCAAUACUCAGUGUGGCACUAUGGGGAUCUCCUUCUGAGGCUGCUGGCUGUGGUUGAUUCCAUGUUGUCUUGUUUCAGGGUUCUGUAUCAUUUUCAUUGCUUUGUUGGAUUAUGUUUUGUUCUAUUUUGUUUUGUUUGAUUUUAUUGUAUCUGAUGGUAUGAGCAGCUAUUUCAAAGAUCUAUUAUGGUAGCUACUUUGGAGUUACUGUUAUCUUAUUUUGUAUUGCAUUAAUUGUUUUGUUUUUAUUGAUUCUAUUAUUUUCUGUUCUGUUUGAUUUUUACUAUGUCUGAAGGCAUCUGCAGCUAUUUUGAAGACACCAGGAGGCAUUAUGGUAACCACUGUUGAUUUAUGAUUGUUUCUAAGACCUGUGUCACUUAUACUGAUGUUUUUUGAUUGGCUUUGUUCUCUGCAGAAUAAAAAAUUUCUCCAAUUUAUACUUCUUUAUGGCUGAGUAGUACUCCAUUAUAUAAAAAUAACACAUCUUCUUUAUUUACUCCUUAGUUGAUAUACAUUUGGUUUGUUUCCAGGAUUCAGUUAUUAUAAAUUUUACUGCUGUAAAUGUUGGUGCACAUAUAUCAUUGUGAUCUGAUGUUUUUAUCUGGGAAGAUAUAAAGAAGGGGAAUAACUGGGUCAAGUGGGACCUAUAGUUCUAGAUUUUUGAGAAGUUUCCGCAUUGAUUUCCUCAGUGGUUGCACCUGCCUGUACUGAACAGUGCAGUGGAAGAAGGCUUCCUUUCCCCCCACAGCCUCACCAGAAUUUGUUAUUGGUUGAUUUCUUGAUGAUAGGCUUUUUUUUCUGAGGUGAGAUGGAAUCUCAGUGUUGGUUUAAUUUGCAUCUCUUGAAUGAUCAGUGAAGUCGAGUAUUUUCAUAGAUUUACUUGUUUUUAUUCCUCCAUCUGAGAACUAUGUUUAUUGCAGAUGCCUAUUUUUGGAUUGAGUCUUUGAAUAUGAAUAUGAGGUUCUGAUUUUUUUCAAUUCUCUGUAUGUUCUCUAUAUAAGUCUUUAAGAGACAGUUGGCUAACAAUUUUUCCCAUUCUAUGGGUUGUCUUUUCACUCUGUUGAUGAGUUUUUUGCUGUGAAAAAGCUUUUUAAUAAGAUGAGGUCCCAGUUGUUGACUCUUUGUGGUACCUCCCAUGUAGACUAGAUUUUGUUGGUGAACUCUCUGCCUCCAUUUUUGCCAUCAAGAUUAUUCCUUAUGUUCUCUUCCAAUAGAUUCAGUGUUUCUGUUUUAAUUUUGAGAUCUUUGGUUCAUUUUAAUUUUAGUUUAGUGCAUGGGGAUAGACAUAGGUCUAGUUUUAGUCUUUUGCAUGUAGAGGGCCAGUUUUUUCAGCACCAUUUAUUAAAGAUCUAUCUUUCUUCCAGUGAAAAUGUUUGGUCCCUUUGUCAAAGAUAAGAUGGAUAAAUGUGUUUGGAGUUGUUUCUGCAUCUUCUGUUUUCUUCUAGUCCUAAGGUCAGUUUUUUUGCUAGUCACAUGCUGAUUUUUAUCACAGUAGCUUUGUUGUAAAAUUUCAAGUCAGAGAUUUUGAUACCUCUUGCCUUGCCUUUGUUUUCUAGAUUUGCCUUUGCUAUUCUAGCUGUCUUCUGUUUCCAAAUGAAUUUUAGCUAUGUUUUCCCUAGUUGUGUAAGGUAUUUUAAUGGUAUUUUGAUCAAGAUUGCAUUAUAUCUAUAUAACAAUUUUGGCAAUAUGUUCAUUUUCACAUUGUAGGUUUUGCAUAUUCAUUAGCAAGGGACACCUUUCCAUUUUCUGAUAUCCUCUUUGAUCUUUUUCAGAGUAAAGUAAUUAUCUCUAUCUAUCUAUCUAUCUAUCUAUCUAUCUAUCUAUCUUACUUACUUACUUUGGUAGAUAAAUUCCUAAGUAUUUCAUAUCUUUGGAUGGUAUUGCGAAUGAUGUGCUUUCCCUAAUUUGUCUUUUUUUUUUUUUUUUUAAUCGGUACUGGGGAUCGAACUCACGACCACACACUUGCAAGGCAGGCACUUAUGCCGCUGAGCUAAAUCCCCAACCCUCCUAAUUUGUCUUCUGGUGAAUUUGUUUAUGUACAGAAAUGCUGUUGAUUUUUGAGUGUUGGCUUUGUAUCCAGGUAUGCUAUUAAAUUUAGUUAUUAAAUCCAAAAGUCUUUUGGUGGAGUUUUUGGUGACUUCUAUAUGGAGUAUGUCACCUAUGAAUAAUGAUAAUUUAUCUUCUUUCUCUCCUAUCCUUUUUUCUUUUGUUUCUCUCCUUGUCUAAUUGCUGUGACUAGUGUUUUCAGAACUAUAUUGUAAAGAAGUGAUGAUAGUGGACAUCCUUGUUUUUUUCCUGAUUUUAAAGUGAAAACUUUCACAUUUUGUCCAUUUAGCAUCUUGUUGGCUGUUGGUGUGUCAUAGAUGGCUUUCAUGAGAUUGCAGUAAAGACCAUCUAUUGCGAUUUUUUGCAGAGCUUUUGUCAUGAAUGAGUUUUGGACUUUGUCAAAAGCUUUUUCUGCACUGACAUGAUCAUGUGAGUUUUUCUUUGACUCUGUUGAUAUGGUGCUGAUAAAUUCAUUUAUCAAAUUGUAUAUGUUGAAUCUUCUCUGCUUUCAUGGGAUGAAUCUCACUUGUUCAUGGAGUAUUAUAUUCUUGAUGAUUUACUGAAUUUUGUUUGCUAGUAUUUUAUUGAGGAUUUGUGCAUCUGUGUUCAUUAAGGAGAUUGGCUUCCUGUUCUCUAUAGGUUGAGUGUUUCUGUGGUUUGGGUAUCAGGGUAAUACUUGCCUCUAUGAAUAAGUUAGAGAGUAUUGCUUCCCUUUCAAUUUCAAUUUCAAUAAAGAACUUGAGAAGUCUUCAUUUUAAAUCUUCUCUAAAUUUCUUGUAGAAUUCAGCUGAGAAUCCAUUAGGACCCAGGCUUUGCUUUUUUGGAAAGCUUUUUAUUGGUUUCAAUUUCAUUGACUGAUACUGGGUUUUUCAGAAUUUAUUAUCUUCUUGAUUCAACUUUGGCAAUUCAUAUGUAUGUAGGCAUCUGUCCAUUUCUUCUGUGUUUUCCAUGUAGAUUCCUUCUAAUGAAAGUGAAAAAAUAUUUGUUUAUCUUAAAGUGGGAAAUCAUAAAUCAAAAGUCUAUGAAUUUUGGUUAUAUAAAAAUUAUGUUUUAUUCUAAUACCAAUGAUAGAUUUAACAGAAACAUAAUGUAAUAGGAGAAGAAAUAAAACAUAAUGGCAAAGAUUUUUAUAUCUAUCUUGUACAAUAACAUCCAGAAAAUUAUAAGGAAAGAUCUCAAUAUCCAUAGGGGAAAAAUGCACACGGUAUGGAAUAUUCCAGUUCAGGGAAGAGGAAAUCUGAAAUACUGCCAAGCCCAUGAAGAGGCUUUCAAACCAAGUACUAUACAUAACAGUGCUAAUUAAAACAGCAACAUAGCAUCUUAUGUCUAAGAUACUGGCACAAACUAAAAGCUGGGUAGUGAUGAUAUGUGUUAGUGAGGAGAUUGGGAUUUAGCAACCCUCAUGCACUGUAAUUAUUCUGGAUGGCUGUAAGACAUGCUUUGGAAAAAUAAGUCUAUGUCCACAGGAACCAGCAUUUCUGAUCUUGGGCAUGUACAUAAGAUAUUCUCUACCAGAUCCAAGAGAGGACAUUACAAAAACAUUCACUGUAUCAUCACUCUUGAUGAUGAGAAAAACAGAAGCAAAAUAGUGUCCCCUGUUGGGAGAGUAAGCAGAUAAUUAUUAUGGAGACUUUACAGCAAUUAGGAUUAGCCAUAAGCAAUAUAGUUUAGAAAAGUAGUAAGAAUCAUAAUGAGAUGUAAAAUGUAACAUUGUUUUUUGUAUUAAAAGUAUAUGCAGUAAGAGAAUCAUAGGUAGUAUGAGGCUAAGUGACACAUGCUCAGAGGCCCAGACAUUAGGAGAGGUUGAGGCUGAGCGUUAUUUGAGCAAAGGAGUUUGAGACCAACUGGGCAACAUAAGCAAGAUCCUAUGUCAAACAUGAGUAAUAAGCUAAUUGAAAAAAUUAAAAUUUAAUGCUAGCAAACACAAAAAGACACAUUUAAAAAAGUAUAGAACAUGUUAAGUAGUUUAAAAUAACUGCUUAGAGAAAUAUGUAAAAUUAGAGAGCAGAAAAAAUGAAAGGAAACAAAAAUCAAGAAUGUCCACUUUCUGGGCCAUAAAAUACACGUUAAAAAUUAAAAAAAAAGUCAUACAGCAUCUGUUAUCAGGUCACAAUUAAUUUGAAUAAGAAUUAAUGACAAAGAUAGCUGGAAAUACAGGUACGCUUUAAGAUUAAACAACACACUUUUAGUAAAUACUACAUGGGUCAAAGAAAAAAAUCUCAAAGGAGCUAUUGAAUAUUUAAAAAUAUUUUGAACUGAUAAAAAGUGAAACAACUUGAAAAAAGUGUAUAUGGGGCAGAAAAACUUUAGAGAGAAUUUUAUAUCACUGAAUGAAUAUAUGAGGAAAGAGGAAAGAUUGAAAGCAAUUAUCUAAUUUUCCAGUUAAGAACUACAAAGAAGGGCAAAUGAAAGCCAAAGGAAGCAGGAGAUAAGGAAUAAUAAAUAAAUUUAGUAUAGUCUCACUUGUUUAUUUUUUAUUUAGUUGCCUGAGUUGUGGUGCCAGAGGUUCCUCCCAAAAUCAAAGCCAGGACAAUACUAAUGUCAAGAAUUCUUCCCCUAAUGUUUUUUUCUAGGCAUUCUGCCAUUUCAGUUCUUAAAUUUAGGUCUUUAUCUAAUUUUAAGUGGAUUUUUGUUAUGGUUUAUGUCUAGAUGUCCCCCCGAAAGCCUCAUGCAAUCAUAGAUGGGUCUUUUCAGAGGUGACUGAAAAUAGAGUGUGUGGUUGGUUUCUGUUAGGAUAAAAAGUGGUAGGAUUAAGGGUGGGUGAUUACUAACUUAGUCCUUUUAUUGGUUUGGCAUUUCCCUAAACUUGGUACCCAGGAUACAAUGUAGGAGACAGAAAAAGGCUUGUCUUCUCCCUCCUUUGUUUGCUUUUGCUGUCUUCUGCUCAUCAUGAACUGUUUUUCCUCUGUGAUGCCCGUUUGCCAAGCCACUUUGCCUCUGAGCUAGCAAAACUGUGAGCUAAAUAAGCCUUUUACUUUUUUAAUUUGGGUGUCAGAUAUUGUGACUCAACAAUGAGCGAAAGUAACUAAGACAAUAAUUUGUGAAUGAUAUAAAAUAAAGAUCCAAUUUUAGUCUUUUGCAUAUCCAGUUUCUGCAAUACCAUUUGUUGAAGAGAGUGUAUUUUCUCUACUGUGUCCCAGGGAUGCUAGUCUAAAAUCAGAUGAUUGGUUAUAUUUUGCUUUAUUUUGUGACUAUUUUAUUUUAUUUUGUUGGUCAAUAUGUCUGUUUUGUGCCAAUAUCAUACUAUUUUGAUUACUGUAGUGUUAUAAUACAUUUUGAGAUCAGGUUAUGGGGUAUAUCUAUUUUUGUUCUUUUUGCUCAGGUUUUACUUUGACUACUUGGGAUCAUUUACCAUGAAUUUGAAUAUAUUUUUCAAUUUAUAUUAAAAAUGUCUAUGAAGUUGCAUUGAAUCUGUAUAUCACUGUUUUAAUAGGAAAAUAUUAACAAUAUUAAUUAAGUACACUAACAUGACAUUUUCCCACUUAUCUCUAUGUUCUUUAAACUAUUCUACUAGGAUUUUAUAGUUUUCUAUAUGUCUUUAAUCUCUUUCAAUAAAUUUAUUCUUUAGCAUUGAA